rnacentral:lncRNA from 1 species
UACACUCCAGCCUGGGCGACAGAGCAAGACUCCAUCUCAAAAAACAAAAGCAAACAAACAAAAAAACUCUUUUCUUUGCUCUCUCCUUUUAUAGGCAUCAGGCCCACAGCAUGGUCCCCUGCCUACUCUUGUUCCCUCCAACUGAUCCUUUACAAUCAUUUCUCCCAAUAGAGGUCUUUCAUGUCUAAUCCUUUCCUGGUAUCUGCUUCUUGGAAAACCAAAGCUAAUACAUGCUUAUUAAGGAAAUGAAAAAAAAAUGUAAUCUAUCCUAUUAACAAAGUAAAGGGAGGAAAUCAUGUAAUUUCACAAGAUGUAGAAAAUUAUUUCAUAAAAUUCCAAAUCAACUCAUGGUAAAAGAAAAAAAACAAGCUCUUUGAAAACUAAGAAUAAAGAAAAGGUUUCUAAAUCUGGCAAAGGUUUUUUUAUUUUAAACUUAAAACAGCAAUACCAUAAUUAAUAGUGAAGCAAUUAAAACUUUUAAGUUGAGAAAAGGAACAAGACAAAUUUGCCUACUAUCCCACUUCUAUUCAACAUCAUAGAAGAAGUCCAACUAAUAAACAUAGAAAGACUAAACUAGAAAAUCAUGAUUUUGCAUCCAUUAAUGAAAUAAUGGAUCUGGGCAGAAAGCAUUGAUGGCUGGGGAAAAUUAGAUGGAGAACUUUAUAAUGGAGAAAUCAGGCUGAUGCUACUCACACUUCAGUCAAUCUGAUCACUAAAAGUGGGAUAAUGAAUCAGUGAUAAAAUGACAUUUUUGAGACAAUUGGGGAUUUUGAAUAUGGACUAAGUGUUAGAUAAAAUGAUGAAGUGAUAUCUUAAAAACAUUCAGCCAAAAGAAAAAUUUGGAAAAAGAUGUGAAAACAGCUUGACUCUUUGGGGUUAAUGUUGAAGGGAGAUGAUUACAUAGCAAUUCAUUGUACCAGUCUUUCUACUUUUCUAUAUAUUUUUAAAUCUCAAAAAAAAAAUCUUAAAUGUAAGGUCAUAGAAAGGAAGAAAUAACAAGAAAAGUUUGAAGAAUCAAUAGAUAAAGAAGAUGAAAACCAAGAAUGGUAUCAAACAAACUAAUCAGGAAAGAAUAUAAGGAGGAGCAUUCAGCAGUAUGAAAUCCAGCAGAAAAAUUCAGGAAAAAAAAACAAUUUGGGGGGUGAAAGACUGAGAACAGUGAAAAAAGAUUGCUGACAGCAAAAAGAGGCUAUUAAUUGAGAGAGUGACCUUUGAGAUGUUGUAGAAGGGGGUCAACAAACUAUGAUCCAUGAGGUCAAAGCUGCUGUCAUCUGUUUUUGUAAAUAAAAUUUUAUUGGAACAUAGUAACUUUAUUCAAUUAUGUACUAUCUACAGCUGCUUUUGUGUUACAAUAGCAGAACUGAGUAACAUUGUGACAUAGACUGGAUUUUGCAAAGUGAAAAAUAUUUACUAUGUGGACCUUUACAGAAAAAAGUUUGUCAAUCUCCAUUUGUAGAAGAUGAAAUUGGGAAUAAAGUUCAGGAUAUUUACAGUUAGAAAGAAAUAUGGUUAUCUCUACCAACACAGAAGAAAAGGAGGAGCAACAAUGGGCAAAGAAACUGGAAAUUGGAGCUUCUUUGGGUCAGGAGUCUGGGCACAGCUUAGCUGGUCCUAAGCUCAGAGUCUCACAGGCUGCAAUCAAGGUGCCGGUUAAACUGUGUUCUCAUCUGGAGGCUUGACAAGAGAAGACUAAACUUUCAAGUUCACCAGGUUGUUGGAGAGUUCAUCUAAAUAGAAAUAUAUAUAUAUAAAAAAUAUUGAAAUACUGAUAGUGUUUUUCCCUAGUAAAUCUAUUACAGUGGAUUUCAUUUUCUUCUUUAUCAUUUGUUUCUCAAAUUUUCUGCAAUAAGCUUGCAUUACUUAUCUCAAAAAAUAAUAUUUAAUAAGAAAUUCAAAUGAUUCUCUUUUCCAAUAAAAGUCCACAUUAUUAGAUCAGCAUGUACAGCUUUCUUCCUUAGCCCACCAAUACUCCUAGUCUUGCAAUUUAUGCUCUAGAAACACUGAACUACUUAUGGUUUCAGUAUAUAGUUCAUCCUGCCACCUCCCACACCACAAUACAAUGCUUUGUCAUUUAGUAACUGUUUUCAUGCUGUUUUUAUACCUACCAGAACAAUCACACCCCAUGUCUUCUCAUCCUUGAAGACUCACCUCAUCCAACACCUCCUUCAAGAAAUCUUCCCUGACAUCCUUUAUUCCCUUUCCCUCCCCACCACAACCCAGGUAAGGUACCCCUCCUUUAAUGUUUUAAAAUAACUGCAACUGUCAUUUCACAGUUAUUAUAGAAGCUAAUACACAAUUGUAUCACAUUAUCUACUGUAGUUAAAUUAUAAUUAUCUUGUGUAUUAUUUAUCUAUUGCUGCAUGACAAAUUAACCCCAAAACAUAGAGGAUUAAAACAACAUUUAUUAAUUCUUACAGUUUCUAUAGAUCAGAAAAGGGUGGGGAGGGGUGGCUUAACUGGGUAGUUCUGACUCAGUCUCUCUUAAGCUGACAGUCAGGAUGUCAGCUGCAGCUCCAGUCCUCUGAAGGCUUCCCCAGGACUGGGGAAUCUGCUCCCAAGCUCUCUCAUAUAGCUGUUGGCAAGGAGACCUCUUCCUUGUUGGCUGUGGGUCAGAGGCUUCUGUUCCUCACCAUGUGGCCUGUCCAUAGAACAACAUGGCAGUGGGAAAAAUCGAAGGGAGAGAGAGGUGGAAGCCACAAUGUCUUUUACAACCUAAUCUUGCCUCCGAAGUAACAUAUCAUCACAUUUGUACUCUUUUGGUCACUGGUCACACAGACCAACCCUUGUACAAUGUGGGAGGGCACCUUGGAAAUUCAUGCCCAAAAGGGCAUGAAUACCAGCAGGUGGGGAUCACCGAGGGCACCUUGGAGAUGGCUCUGUCUAUCUCACCAGCCUGACUGAACUCGGCCUUGUGCCUCUUGCUACUCCCUAGCCCUGGCUUAUUAUAGUUUUGCAUAAUAAUAUGAAAUACCAAUAAGAAUUGUUUGCAUCUUAAAUGAUCAAUAAGGGCUGAUUAGCUUACUAACUCUUGCUACAUAGGAUGAGAGGCAUAAGAAAAGAAUGUCUGAGCUCUCCAGGCUUCAGAAAACCAUUCUACAACAAGGAAGGGUGUGGGCAGAUAAGUGGAUGGAUGGAAGAAUUAAAAGUUGGAAAGAAAAAAAAAAUGGCAUUUUCUCAGUCCUUCCUCUAAUUUAUCAAGAAACUUAUUUUGCUUCCUUUUGUUUAAACUUUUCUGAUUUUUCUCCCUCCAUUCUUUAAUAUUUAUCUCAUAGCAAACUGGAUAUUGAAAAUUUUUCAAGUAAUUCUUAGGAAAACUUCAAUAUUUUUCUAAGUUGAACUAAGAAAUUGACUUUUAAUCUUUUGCUUGUGGAGUGAGUUGAGUUUUGCAGUAACAACAUUUAAAAAGCAAAGUUUGAGGAGUUGAGUUCAACUUAAGGAGACAAUCUUUGUUUCUUCAGAUAUCAGAAAUGUCAGGCUUUUGUUACUGUCUUUUAGCAGUGCUAUUAUUUUGAAGAUGAUAUUUGUUCUGUGUGGUUUUAAUAUACAGAUGUCCUCUGCCUGAACAGUUCAGUAGAAACUAGGUAUAAAGUACAAGAAGCAAGCAAGAGAGGGUAAGAGAAAAAAAAAUAAAUCUCUUUAUUAUGGUGCAUAAACCUUCAGUGUGAGGGAGCUUUGCAGCUGCACAAGGAGAAAAAUGCAUUCAAAAAUAUAAUGCAAGUGUGAAUAAUCCUUUCUCGAAUGCUGCUUGCAGACUGCUCCAGCUUUGUCAGGUGAACUUGAACCGGGCCAUCAGAUUUGCCCCCAUUCCCAUUGCACACUCUGUCUAUCACCCCAGGGCAUUCACCAUCUUGACUGUUGUUUAAAGAGAACAAGCAAUCCAUCAUUGAGCCAGGGAGUCACUUUCUCAUAGAAAAGUAAAAUCAGCAUGUGACACUACUCAGCCCUAGUGUUUUGCAGAUUAAAAUGAUACAUGGCGACUCACGUGUUACUAGGAGGAUUAAGUUGGUUAUCUUGUUCCAUUGCCCAGACAAAAGAAUUCCCCUCAAGCAGUAAGUGGGAGCUUUACAGAAGCUAAAAUCGUUGGGCUCAACUAUACAGUGGUAAGACAGAGAAUUUAACAAGAGAACAGAAAAAAAAAAAUGUUAUUUUACAUCUAAGCACAUUUUUUAUUCCCUGCAAGAGAUAGUACAAAGAAGAAUCCAUCCCAAAAGGGGAGCUGUGAAAUCUUUGUACAAGUCUCUGCUGUUUGAAAUGCCAAUUUUAUUACUAGAGAUGGACACACAAUUUAUUGUCUGACUGCCUCUACAGUUGAUUUAAAUAUGGUGAAAUAAAUGAGCAGCCGUUGGCCCUAGGGCUGUUAGCUUCAUAAGAGUAGGUUACAAAUCCUGCAGCUACAGUAUCAAGUUAUUAACACUGUUAUUCCAUUGUGUGAUCUACAUAGUAAUAAAAUUUUAAGUGAAUCUCAUAGAGAAAUGAGCUCACAAUGAAAGGCUGGGAUACAGCCUUUAAUUUACGAAGCCGAGGCAAAUAUUUAUCAUGUUACAGAAAAUAUUUUUAUAUAAUUGAAUCUGUAACUGUGUUGUGUUCAUUUUCAAAAGUAAUGUUCAAAAA